GAUGAACGCUGGCGGCGUGCCUAACACAUGCAAGUCGAACGAAGCUUGACGGAUGAUUUCUUCGGAAUGAAACCUGAUAUGACUUAGUGGCGGACGGGUGAGUAACACGUGAGCAACCUGCCUUUCAGAGGGGGAUAACGGCUGGAAACGGUCGCUAAUACCGCAUGAUGUGUUCGGAUGGCAUCAUCUGAACAUCAAAGAUUUAUCGCUGAAAGAUGGGCUCGCGUCUGAUUAGAUAGUUGGUGGGGUAACGGCCUACCAAGUCUACGAUCAGUAGCCGGACUGAGAGGUUGAACGGCCACAUUGGGACUGAGAUACGGCCCAGACUCCUACGGGAGGCAGCAGUGGGGAAUAUUGCACAAUGGGGGAAACCCUGAUGCAGCAACGCCGCGUGAAGGAUGACGGUUUUCGGAUUGUAAACUUCUUUUCUUAGUGACGAAGACAG
rnacentral:rRNA from 1 species